rnacentral:rRNA from 1 species
CUUGAUUUUUAUAGGAGGUCUAGCCUGCCCAGUGACAAAGUUAAACGGCCGCGGUACCCUAACCGUGCAAAGGUAGCGCAAUCACUUGUUCUUUAAAUGAGGACUAGUAUGAACGGCAUCACGAGGGUUAUGCUGUCUCCCUACUUUAUUCAGUGAAACUGAUCUCCCCGUGAAGAAGCGGGGAUAAAAAUAUAAGACGAGAAGACCCCAUGGAGCUUUAAACUCAGUAUCAACUGCUAUAUUUAAAACCUAAUACACAAGCAAUCUCUGACUACUAGUUUUCGGUUGGGGUGACCACGGAGUAAAACCUAACCUCCACGAUGAAAGGAAGUAACAACCUAAAUUAAGAGCUACAACUCUAAAUAUCAAUAAAUUGACUGAUUGAUCCAAUUAAUUGAUCAACGAACCA